rnacentral:lncRNA from 1 species
CUGCCAAAGGGCAUAAACUUGGCUCCUUCAAGCACAUUUGCCUCCAAAACUUCCAAUCAUGCAUUUAGCUCAACCAAAACAUGCAAAUAUACAUACAUUGGCUCCUAGGGGCUUCAAACUAACUUAAACCCCAACUACAACACACAAAUCCAACAUACAUUGCUCAAAACAUAACAUUAACUCAAAAACCUAACUAUGAGCUAAACAUGCAUUCUACCCCA